ACUCCCGAGGCGUCAAAAACUGCAGAACGGUCAAGCGCCUCUAGCGUCACUAUGAAGACGUCAACGGCGCCCCUCCGCGUCACUAUAUCGACGAACUGGGACCUACAUUGAUUUCAAUGGGAAACUUUUGGCGUCAGAACACAGACGCGAAGGAGACGGUGAUCGCUAUGAAAUCACGUUCAGGAAGUCUCAUUCAGCACACAUCGCGAUAUUUGCCAUCAGUUUACAUGUGCCGCAGGUUGGCUGAGGAGACCUAAAGGAAGCCGUCAGUCCAGUCUUGUUUGUGGAGAGGUCUUCAUUUAGAAACAGAGAAGACAGAAAGCUGCGGAGGGAGACAUUUGCAGUGGUAGGGUUUCUUGCAGAUAACGCUGUCCUUCUCCAUCAUGCACAAGGACUCUCCUCUUUAACUUUUUAUCCCCCACACAUACAGAAAUGGCACCAGAUCAAUAUUAAGACUUUGCAGGGUUUUUUUUCAGAAGAUGCAACUUUGUUUUAAUUAUAAGCUUAUAAUGAAUACAUUUUGACCUUCCAGCAACCCAUAUACUGUAUACUGAACCAGUAAUGAAAACAAUAGUUAAAAAUAGUCUUUUUCGUAUUGAUAAAGC